UGGAGGGGAGGGGGGGAUGACGUCAAGUCAUCAUGGCCCUUACGGCCUGGGCUACACACGUGCUACAAUGGUCGGUACAGAGGGUUGCCAAGCCGCGAGGUGGAGCUAAUCCCACAAAACCGAUCGUAGUCCGGAUCGCAGUCUGCAACUCGACUGCGUGAAGUCGGAAUCGCUAGUAAUCGCGAAUCAGAAUGUCGCGGUGAAUACGUUCCCGGGCCUUGUACACACCGCCCGUCACACCAUGGGAGUGGGUUGCACCAGAAGUAGCUAGUCUAA
rnacentral:rRNA from 1 species